GACGAACGCUGGCGGCGUGCUUAACACAUGCAAGUCGAACGAUGAACCCGGAGCUUGCUCCGGUGGAUUAGUGGCGAACGGGUGAGUAACACGUGAGUAACCUGCCCUUGACUCUGGGAUAACUGCGGGAAACUGUAGCUAAUACCGGAUACGACCCUCGGCGGCAUCGCCAGGGGGUGGAAAGAAUUUCGGUCAAGGAUGGACUCGCGGCAUAUCAGCUAGUUGGUGAGGUAACGGCUCACCAAGGCGACGACGGGUAGCCGGCCUGAGAGGGUGACCGGCCACACUGGGACUGAGACACGGCCCAGACUCCUACGGGAGGCAGCAGUGGGGAAUAUUGCACAAUGGGCGCAAGCCUGAUGCAGCAACGCCGCGUGAGGGAUGAAGGUCUUCGGAUUGUAAACCUCUAAAACGGGGACGAUAAUGACGGUACCCGUUGAGAAGCACCGGCUAACUCCGUGCCAGCCGCCGCCGUAA
rnacentral:rRNA from 1 species